rnacentral:rRNA from 1 species
AGGAACCUAGCCUUGGAGUGGGGAAGUAACAGCUGGAAACAGCUGCUAAUACCGCAUAAUAUAUCUGGGCCGCAUGGCUCUGGAUAUCAAAGAUUUAUCGCUCUGAGAUGGACCCGCGUCUGAUUAGCUGGUUGGUGAGGUAACGGCUCACCAAGGCGACGAUCAGUAGCCGACCUGAGAGGGUGAUCGGCCACAUUGGGACUGGGACACGGCCCAAACUCCUACGGGAGGCAGCAG